rnacentral:rRNA from 1 species
CCUACGGGGGGCAGCAGUGGUGAAUUUUGGACAAUGGGCGCAAGCCUGAUCCAGCCAUGCCGCGUGCAGGAUGAAGGCCUUCGAGUUGUAAACUGCUUUUGUACGGAACGAAAAGGUUCUUUCUAAUAAAGAGGACUGAUGACGGUACCGUAAGAAUAAGCACCGGCUAACUACGUGCCAGCAGCCGCGGUAAUACGUAGGGUGCGAGCGUUAAUCGGAAUUACUGGGCGUAAAGCGUGCGCAGGCGGUUAUGCAAGACAGAUGUGAAAUCCCCGGGCUCAACCUGGGAACUGCAUUUGUGACUGCAUAGCUAGAGUACGGCAGAGGGGGAUGGAAUUCCGCGUGUAGCAGUGAAAUGCGUAGAUAUGCGGAGGAACACCGGUGGCGAAGGCAAUCCCCUGGGCCUGUACUGACGCUCAUGCACGAAAGCGUGGGGAGCAAACAGGAUUAGAUACCCGCGUAGUC